GCUGGGAGCUCUUCCCCCACUGUUCCAAAGACUAUAGAGGGAACACCAGAGUGCUUGAACCAAUGAGACAAACAAGGGGGAAUAUUGGAAGAAUUUGUUUACCUCGAUUUGUGAUUGCUGCCCUUGGAGUUUCCAUCAGAGGAGGCAGUUUCAAACUGGAGGAUUAUGAAUAGCAUGUGGAACCAUAACACUGGGGAUGACUCACACCAUAACGCAUCAAGAAAGCCAUUUCCAACCACAAGGCUAUUUCUGAAAGAGUGCUUGGCACCGGUGGGGGAAUCUUGGCUACAAGUGGUUGGUUGUAGUGGCACAUGCAAUACCCAAAGGCAGACAUCCUGAUGAAUUUCUGACAGAGCAGGGUGGGAGAUAAUUCAUCCGGCAGCCCAAG
rnacentral:lncRNA from 1 species